rnacentral:snoRNA from 2 species
UAGACUAUACUUUCAGGGAUCAUGUCUAUAUAGUUUAUUACUAGAGAAGUAUCUCUGAAUGUGUUGAGUACCCAAAACCAUGAGGAAGAGAAGCUAGCUGCUCAUUUCCCCUUGAUGAGAGUUCUUUUCCUCUUUGGGGGAUUAAGGGACAAGAGAGACACACUGUCUGAGGGGC